rnacentral:tRNA from 1 species
GUCUUCUUGGUGUAGUGGUCAGCACGCUCGACGCGUAACCGAGAGGUCCGUGGUUCAAUUCCCACCGAAGGCG